GGUCUGAGGAAAGGCAGAGCAGACCGAUUGACGUGCUUCUCGAGAGCGAUGCUCGUGCACGGACUUGCUCGAGUAAAUGUAGGCAUGGAGCCUGUGGCAACUCAUGUCUGUUCUGAACAUGGGGUGCAAACGUGGAGUCAGUGGCUACACAUGUCCAAUCUGAAGUGA
rnacentral:lncRNA from 1 species